CUUGACGGAGCCCAGCCACAGCGGCUCGGCGCGGUCCUGCCCGUAGGCGGCGAGCAGCGCCUGGGCCUC
rnacentral:antisense_RNA from 1 species